CGUAAUUUAGGCAUAUUACUAAGCGGAGGAAAAGAAACUAACAAGGAUUCCCCCAGUAGCGGCGAGCGAACAGGGAAGAGUCCAGCACCGAACCCCGCAGGCUGCCGCCUGUCGUGGCAUGUGGUGUUUGGGAGGGUCCACUACCCCGACGCCUCGCGCCGAGUCCAAGUCCAACUUGAAUGAGGCCACGGCCCGUAGAGGGUGCCAGGCCCGUAGCGGCCGGUGCGAGCGUCGGCGGGACCUCUCCUUCGAGUCGGGUUGCUUGAGAGUGCAGCUCCAAGUGGGUGGUAAACUCCAUCUGAGACUAAAUAUGACCACGAGACCGAUAGCGAACAAGUACCGUGAGGGAAAGUUGAAAAGAACUUUGAAGAGAGAGUUCAAAAGUACGUGAAACCGUUCUGGGGUAAACGUGAGAAGUCCGAAAGGUCGAACGGGUGAGAUUCACGCCCAUCUGGCCACUGGCCCCUGCCCUCGGCAGAUGGGGCCGGCCGCCCGCGCGGAGCAAUCCGCGGCGGGGUCGUGUCCGGUUGCCUUUCCACUCGCCGCGGGGUGGGGUCGUUCCAGUGUGCGGUGGGCCGCACUUCUCCCCUAGUAGGACGUCGCGACCCGCUGGGUGCCGGCCUACGGCCCGGGUGCGCAGCCUGUCCUUCCGUGGGCCUCGGUCCGCGUCUGUUGGGCAGAGCCCCGGUGCCCCCGGCUGGCUGCUCGGCGGUACAUCUCGAGGAGUCGAUUCGCCUGUUUUUUGGGCGCCCGGGCUCCCGGCAAGCGCGCGCGGUUCUUCCCGGAUGACGGACCUACCUGGCCCGGCCCCGGACCCGCGCCGCUGUUGGCUCGGGAUGCUCUCGGGCGGAAUAAUCGCUCCCGUCAGCGGCGCUUCAGCUUUGGACAAUUUCACGACCCGUCUUGAAACACGGACCAAGGAGUCUAACAUGUGCGCGAGUCAUUGGGCUGUACGAAACCUAAAGGCGUAAUGAAAGUGAAGGUCUCGCCUUGCGCGGGCCGAGGGAGGAUGGGGCUUCCCCGCCCUUCACGGGGCGGCGGCCUCCGCACUCCCGGGGCGUCUCGUCCUCAUUGCGAGGUGAGGCGCACCUAGAGCGUACACGUUGGGACCCGAAAGAUGGUGAACUAUGCCUGGCCAGGACGAAGUCAGGGGAAACCCUGAUGGAGGUCCGUAGCGAUUCUGACGUGCAAAUCGAUCGUCGGAGCUGGGUAUAGGGGCGAAAGACUAAUCGAACCAUCUAGUAGCUGGUUCCCUCCGAAGUUUCCCUCAGGAUAGCUGGUGCUCGUACGAGUCUCAUCCGGUAAAGCGAAUGAUUAGAGGCCUUGGGGCCGAAACGACCUCAACCUAUUCUCAAACUUUAAAUGGGUGAGAUCUCCGGCUUGCUUGAUAUGCUGAAGCCGCGAGCAAACGACUCGGAUCGGAGUGCCAAGUGGGCCACUUUUGGUAAGCAGAACUGGCGCUGUGGGAUGAACCAAACGCCGAGUUAAGGCGCCCGAAUCGACGCUCAUGGGAAACCAUGAAAGGCGUUGGUUGCUUAAGACAGCAGGACGGUGGCCAUGGAAGUCGGAAUCCGCUAAGGAGUGUGUAACAACUCACCUGCCGAAGCAACUAGCCCUGAAAAUGGAUGGCGCUGAAGCGUCGUGCCUAUACUCGGCCGUCAGUCUGGCAGUCAUGGCCGGUCCUCGCGGCCGGCCGCGAAGCCCUGACGAGUAGGAGGGUCGCGGCGGUGAGCGCAGAAGGGUCUGGGCGUGAGCCUGCCUGGAGCCGCCGUCGGUGCAGAUCUUGGUGGUAGUAGCAAAUACUCCAGCGAGGCCCUGGAGGGCUGACGCGGAGAAGGGUUUCGUGUGAACAGCCGUUGCACACGAGUCAGUCGAUCCUAAGCCCUAGGAGAAAUCCGAUGUCGAUGGGGGCCGUCAUAGCAUGAUGCCUAUUUGUGCUGGCCCCCGUUGGGCGAAAGGGAAUCCGGUUCCUAUUCCGGAACCCGGCAGCGGAACCGAUACAAGUCGGGCCCCUCUUUUAGAGAUGCUCGUCGGGGUAACCCAAAAGGACCCGGAGACGCCGUCGGGAGAUCGGGGAAGAGUUUUCUUUUCUGCAUGAGCGUUCGAGUUCCCUGGAAUCCUCUAGCAGGGAGAUAGGGUUUGGAACGCGAAGAGCACCGCAGUUGCGGCGGUGUCCCGAUCUUCCCCUCGGACCUUGAAAAUCCGGGAGAGGGCCACGUGGAGGUGUCGCGCCGGUUCGUACCCAUAUCCGCAGCAGGUCUCCAAGGUGAAGAGCCUCUAGUCGAUAGAAUAAUGUAGUAAGGGAAGUCAA
rnacentral:rRNA from 1 species